AAAUUAGAACUACAAUCAGCUACGAACGAACUACAAUCGAUUGUGAUAAGAAUAAAUCUAAUCCGGGCAGAUGAGGGGCUAAGUAUAUGGAGCUAUGUUUUUCUUGUCCAUGGAUCCAACAAACGAUCUGCUUGGUCCAACCAUAGACUUAAAACCAAUAGACCGAGCGCUGUAGUAAAUGCAUUAAAGCCAACAUUGAGAGAGACAGAGCUACUUCAAAGUAGCGCUGUCUCUUUCUGUUCUAAUUCUGUCUCUGUCUAACAAUUCAGAAGUGGUGGCUUCGAAUACGCCCAUUGUAUCACGUGGUACUCUUUUGUUUUUAAAAGCGACGCGCCGCGACGCCUCAGACUUUUAGCAUUGUAGUGCAAACUAUUCCAAUUUUUUUUCCUAUCGUUUAAUUAACAGCCGAAAUAUUAUGGUGCUCUCUUUUUGCAUUUGCAAAAUCGAAAGUGGCCAAUUUCCGGGCAUCAGUUUUCACACGUAUGGUGUUAGAAAUAAGGAGGGCUGCUACGAUUACGUGGGUUACCCCAAGGAUUUGUGAAAUCCUUUGUGUUUACCCAAUCAGCAACAAGCCCACUGUAUCGAGUUACUAUGGACAGAAGCAACCUGGGUAUUGUUACAGUCUGCCCCGCUACAACAGUCUGCUCCACAACUGUUACUUACAUUCUUAUUAUUAGGUAACGACACUUUUUUCAUUCAUCACUCAACAAUCAGCAAAUAAUCAGGUAAUGGAAAUGUUAC